rnacentral:rRNA from 1 species
GUGAGGAAUAUUGGUCAAUGGGCGAGAGCCUGAACCAGCCAAGUAGCGUGCAGGAUGACGGCCCUAUGGGUUGUAAACUGCUUUUACACGGGGAUAAAGUGUGCGACGUGUCGUUCAUUGCAGGUACCGUGCGAAUAAGGACCGGCUAAUUCCGUGCCAGCAGCCGCGGUAAUACGGAAGGUCCGGGCGUUAUCCGGAUUUAUUGGGUUUAAAGGGAGCGUAGGCCGUCUGUUAAGCGUGUUGUGAAAUGUAGAUGCUCAACAUCUGAAUUGCAGCGCGAACUGACCGACGUGAGUGCGCAGGAAGUAGGCGGAAUUCGUGGUGUAGCGGUGAAAUGCUUAGAUAUCACGAAGAACUCCGAUUGCGAAGGCAGCUUACUGUAGCGCCACUGACGCUGAAGCUCGAAAGUGCGGGUAUCGAACAGGAUUAGAUACCCUUGUAGUCC